rnacentral:lncRNA from 1 species
CCAGAGAGUUCGGGCCGGACGGCUGAAGCUCGGUUGGGACAUUUGGUGGAGCAAAAUUGCUCUCUGCCUCAGCAAUCUGAAAGAAGCUCGGAUGUUUUCGAGGUUGCUGACAGGUUAAUUGUUGUUGGGUGCCAUUGGUACUGCAGACAGAAGUCAUCUGCUGUAGAAGCUCGGACGAAAAUUACCUGUUGGAGAAGUCCG